rnacentral:rRNA from 1 species
UUCUUGGUUCCAUUAGAGGAAGUAAAAGUCGUAACAAGGUUUCCGUAGGUGAACCUGCGGAAGGAUCAUUAUCGAGUUUUGACUGGGUUGUAGCUGGCCUUCCGAGGCAUGUGCACGCCCUGCUCAUCCACUCUACACCUGUGCACUUACUGUGGGUUUCAGACGGCGUAGCGAGCCUUUACGGGUUCGUGAAAGCGUCUGUGCCUGCGUUUAUUACAAACUCUUACAAGUAAAUGAAUGUGUAUUGCGAUAUAACGCAUCUAUAUACAACUUUCAGCAACGGAUCUCUUGGCUCUCGCAUCGAUGAAGAACGCAGCGAAAUGCGAUAAGUAAUGUGAAUUGCAGAAUUCAGUGAAUCAUCGAAUCUUUGAACGCACCUUGCGCUCCUUGGUAUUCCGAGGAGCAUGCCUGUUUGAGUGUCAUGAAAUCUUCAACCUAUAAACCUUUGCGGGUUUGUAGGCUUGGACUUGGAGGCUUGUCGGCCUAACGGUCGGCUCCUCUUAAAUGUAUUAGCUUGAUUCCUUGCGGAUCGGCUCUCGGUGUGAUAAUUGUCUACGCCGCGACCGUGAAGCGUUUGGCGAGCUUCUAAUCGUCUCUUAUGAGACAACACAUUGACCUCUGACCUCAAAUCAGGUAGGACUACCCGCUGAACUUAAGCAUAUCAAUAAGCGGAGGAAAAGAAACUAACAAGGAUUCCCCUAGUAACUGCGAGUGAAGCGGGAAAAGCUCAAAUUUAAAAUCUGGCGGUCUUUGGCCGUCCGAGUUGUAGUCUGGAGAAGUGCUUUCCGCGCUGGACCGUGUAAAGUUCUCCCGGAA